rnacentral:rRNA from 1 species
AUUGAACGCUGGCGGCAGGCUUAACACAUGCAAGUCGAGCGGGGUGAUGGUGCUUGCACUAUCACUUAGCGGCGGACGGGUGAGUAAUGCUUAGGAAUCUGCCUAUUAGUGGGGGACAACAUCUCGAAAGGGAUGCUAAUACCGCAUACGUCCUACGGGAGAAAGCAGGGGAUCACUUGUGACCUUGCGCUAAUAGAUGAGCCUAAGUCGGAUUAGCUAGUUGGUGGGGCAAAGGCCUACCAAGGCGACGAUCUGCAGCGGGUCUGAGAGGAUGAUCCGCCACACUGGGACUGAGAAACGGCCCAGACUCCUACGGGAGGCAGCAGUGGGGAAUAUUGGACAAUGGGGGGAACCCUGAUCCAGCCAUGCCGCGUGUGUGAAGAAGGCCUUAUGGUUGUAAAGCACUUUAAGCGAGGAGGAGGCUCUUUUGGUUAAUACCCAAGAUGAGUGGACGUUACUCGCAGAAUAAGCACCGGCUAACUCUGUGCCAGCCGCCGCCGUAA